UCUUAUACCUUUAUAGACUUUGAUCACUUAAGCCUAAAUUACCGAGCUUUCACAGCUCCUCUCUUUCACACCUCUAAAGCUUUUGGUUCCUUUCCAUAUUAUCUUUGACUUUAGAAAUUCAGUGGAACCUUUAAUUUUCUUUUAAUGAGGCUUGAGAUAACUCUUCAAUAUAAGAACCAUCACCAUCCAUACUGCUUGAUCAAAGAUCUUUGCUGACUUCACCUAACGCUGCAUGACAUAAGAUGGUGUUGUCCAGAGAUAGGCAUAUAUAAUAUUGAUCUCCAAG
rnacentral:lncRNA from 1 species